GAUGAACGCUGGCGGCGUGCCUAAUACAUGCAAGUCGAGCGAACAGACGAGGAGCUUGCUCCUCUGACGUUAGCGGCGGACGGGUGAGUAACACGUGGAUAACCUACCUAUAAGACUGGGAUAACUUCGGGAAACCGGAGCUAAUACCGGAUAAUAUAUUGAACCGCAUGGUUCAAUAGUGAAAGACGGUUUUGCUGUCACUUAUAGAUGGAUCCGCGCCGCAUUAGCUAGUUGGUAAGGUAACGGCUUACCAAGGCAACGAUGCGUAGCCGACCUGAGAGGGUGAUCGGCCACACUGGAAGUGAGACACGGUCCAGACUCCUACGGGAGGCAGCAGUAGGGAAUCUUCCGCACUGGGCGAAAGCCUGACGGAGCAACGCCGCGUGAGUGAUGAAGGUCUUCGGAUCGUAAAACUCUGUUAUUAGGGAAGAACAAAUGUGUAAGUAACUAUGCACGUCUUGACGGUACCGAAUCAGAAAGCCACGGCUAACUACGG
rnacentral:rRNA from 1 species